AAGAGCAGAGGUAUAUGAAAAGACCAAGAUAGAUAUGAGAGAACAGCAAAAAAAGAAUUGAUGGAGAAGAACAAAGAUGAGGACGAAGAUGGAAAGAACUAGGUAGAAUGAUGAGAGACCAGCAGAAGGGAUUGAGAGCAGGAUGGACUGAGAGGAGCUAAGGAAGAGAGCAGAAAAGAAACUGUGUAGAUAGAACUGACUUAGAAGUAUUAAGUGAAUGGACUAACAAGCUCAGUGUGCUUA